UUUCCAUGGCAGACUUUCUAGGCU
rnacentral:piRNA from 1 species